GAUGAACGCUAGCGGCGUGCCUAACACAUGCAAGUCGAACGUGAGAGGGUACUUGUAUCCUUGAAAGUGGCGGACGGGUGAGUAAGACGUAGGUGACCUGCCUUGAAGUGGGGGAUAACCAUUGGAAACGAUGGCUAAUACCGCAUAAGCUGGUGACGAUGGGAAUCGUUAUCAGGAAAGCUUUAGUGCUUUGAGAGGGGCCUACGGCCGAUUAGCUAGUUGGUGAGGUAAAGGCUCACCAAGGCGAUGAUCGGUAGCUGGUCUGAGAGGACGAUCAGCCACACGGGAACUGAGACACGGUCCCGACUCCUACGGGGGGCAGCAGUGAGGAAUAUUCGGCAAUGGGGGGCAACCCUGACCGAGCAACGCCGUGUGGAGGAUGACGGUUUUCGGAUUGUAAACUCCUUUUCUCAGGGAAGAGCGAGGACGGUACCUGGGGAAUAAGUCACGGCUAACU
rnacentral:rRNA from 1 species